GAGGAUACAGCUCAGUGGUAGAGAGCACGCUCAGCAUGCAUGAGGUCCUGGGUUCAAUCCCCGGUAUUUCCA
rnacentral:tRNA from 1 species